rnacentral:piRNA from 1 species
UGAGAGAAAUGAAAAGGAUGACAGGCAAA